rnacentral:rRNA from 1 species
CGGCGUGCCUAAUACAUGCAAGUCGAACGCAUUGUGGUUGAAAUGAUAUGAAGAACUUGUUCAGAUUUGAUUUUCAACAUUGCAAUGAGUGGCGAACGGGUGAGUAAUACGUGGGAAACCUACCUCUUAGCAGGGGAUAACAUUUGGAAACAAAUGCUAAUACCGUAUAAUAAUUAAAACCGCAUGGUUUUAGUUUAAAAGAUGGUCUUGCUAUCACUAAGAGAUGGUCCCGCGGUGUAUUAGUUAGUUGGUGAGGUAAUGGCUCACCAAGACAAUGAUACAUAGCCGAGUUGAGAGACUGACCGGCCACAAUGGGACUGAGACACGGCCCAUACUCCUACGGAGGCAGCAGUAGGGAAUCUUCCACAAUGGACGAAAGUCUGAUGGAGCAACGCCGCGUGUGUGAUGAAGGGUUUCGGCUCGUAAAACACUGUUGUAAGAGAAGAAUGACAUUGAGAGUAACUGUUCAAUGUGUGACGGUAUCUUACCAGAAAGGAACGGCUAAAUACGUG